CCUACGGGGGGCUGCAGUGGGGAAUAUUGCGCAAUGGGGGCAACCCUGACGCAGCGACGCCGCGUGAGUGAUGAAGGCCUUUCUGGUUGUAAAGCUCUGUAAAGAGGGAAGAAUGUCAGGCGGUAACUCGUCUGAGUGACGGUACCUCUGAAGUAAGGACCGGCUAAACACGUGCCAGCAGCCGCGGUAAUACGUGUGGUCCUAGCGUUGUCCGGAAUAACUGGGCGUAAAGGGUGUGUAGGCGGACAUCCGUGUCAGGUGUGAAAUUCCCCGGCUUAACUGGGGCAUUGCGCUUGAAACUGGAUGUCUGGAGCGUGUCAGGGGUAAGCGGAAUUCCCGGAGUAGCGGUGAAAUGCGUAGAUAUCGGGAAGAACACCGGUGGCGAAGGCGGCUUACUGGGACAUGGCUGACGCUGAGGCACGAAAGCGUGGGGAGCGAACGGGCUUAGAUACCCUGGUAGUC
rnacentral:rRNA from 1 species